UUCCCUGGUCCAGUGGUUAAGACUCUGCACUUCCAAUGCAGGAAGUGUGGGUUCAAUCCCUUGUUGGAAA
rnacentral:tRNA from 1 species